CAAGUACUGGUCUCAGCAGAUUGAGGAGAGCACCACAGUGGUCACCACACAGUCUGCGGAGGUUGGAGCUGC
rnacentral:pre_miRNA from 1 species